rnacentral:rRNA from 1 species
GAUGAACGCUGGCGGCGUGCCUAAUACAUGCAAGUCGAGCGAACAGAUGAGGAGCUUGCUCCUCUGACGUUAGCGGCGGACGGGUGAGUAACACGUGGAUAACCUACCUAUAAGACUGGGAUAACUUCGGGAAACCGGAGCUAAUACCGGAUAAUAUAUUGAACCGCAUGGUUCAAUAGUGAAAGACGGUUUUGCUGUCACUUAUAGAUGGAUCCGCGCCGCAUUAGCUAGUUGGUAAGGUAACGGCUUACCAAGGCAACGAUGCGUAGCCGACCUGAGAGGGUGAUCGGCCACACUGGAACUGAGACACGGUCCAGACUCCUACGGGAGGCAGCAGUAGGGAAUCUUCCGCAAUGGGCGAAAGCCUGACGGAGCAACGCCGCGUGAGUGAUGAAGGUCUUCGGAUCGUAAAACUCUGUUAUUAGGGAAGAACAAAUGUGUAAGUAACUAUGCACGUCUUGACGGUAACUAAUCAGAAAGCCACGGCUAACUACGUG